rnacentral:rRNA from 1 species
GUGGGUAGUUUGACUGGGGCGGUCUCCUCCUAAAGAGUAACGGAGGAGCACGAAGGUUGGCUAAUCCUGGUCGGACAUCAGGAGGUUAGUGCAAUGGCAUAAGCCAGCUUGACUGCGAGCGUGACGGCGCGAGCAGGUGCGAAAGCAGGUCAUAGUGAUCCGGUGGUUCUGAAUGGAAGGGCCAUCGCUCAACGGAUAAAAGGUACUCCGGGGAUAACAGGCUGAUACCGCCCAAGAGUUCAUAUCGACGGCGGUGUUUGGCACCUCGAUGUCGGCUCAUCACAUCCUGGGGCUGAAGUAGGUCCCAAGGGUAUGGCUGUUCGCCAUUUAAAGUGGUACGCGAGCUGGGUUUAGAACGUCGUGAGACAGUUCGGUCCCUAUCUGCCGUGGGCGCUGGAGAACUGAGGGGGGCUGCUCCUAGUACGAGAGGACCGGAGUGGACGCAUCACUGGUGUUCGGGUUGUCAUGCCAAUGGCACUGCCCGGUAGCUAAAU